rnacentral:rRNA from 1 species
UCGAGAAUUUUUGGCAAUGGGCGAAAGCCUGACCAAGCGAUGCCGCGUGCGGGAUGAAGGCCUUCGGGUUGUAAACCGCUGUCAGUGGGGAGGAAAGCUUUGUGAAGAGCAAGGCUUGACCUAUCCGCAGAGGAAGUGUGGGCUAAGUUCGUGCCAGCAGCCGCGGUAAGACGAACCACACAAACGUUAUUCGGAAUUACUGGGCUUAAAGGGUGCGUAGGCUGCGCAGUAAGUUGGGUGUGAAAUACCUCGGCUCAACCGAGGAACUGCGCCCAAAACUACUGUGCUUGAGGAAGAUAGAGGUAAGCGGAACUUACGGUGGAGCGGUGAAAUGCGUUGAUAUCGUAAGGAACACCUGUGGCGAAAGCGGCUUACUGGGUCUUUUCUGACGCUGAUGCACGAAAGCUAGGGGAGCAAACGGG